AUCCUCUCCAAGACCCAAACUCGUUCUCUGGGAACUUCUGGGAGAGACAGGUCAAUGGCAAAUAAUAAGCACAUGUUGAAAGCGUAGGGACUAGAUUUCAAGCCAACGAUCAGCACCAAGCAUGAAUGGAACGCUAUCAGUGAUAUUAGCUUGGGAACAGCUCCAAAAACUUGUUGUUGAGUGAAUGAACGGAUGGAGAAAGGAAUCUGUCGUGCAUUAAACUCUCAGGCCUCCGCUGAGGUUCAUCAUUUGUUGUUGCUUAGUCACGAAGUCGUGUCCGACUCUGCGACCCCAUGGACUAUAACCUGCCGGGCUCCUCCGUCCAUGGACUUCUCCAGACAACAAUACUGGAGUGGGUUGCUGUUUUCUCUUUCCGGGGAUCUUCCCAACCCAGAGAUUGAACCUGUGUCUUCUACAUGGGCAGACAGAGUCUUUACCUCGGAGCCACCGGGAAGCUUCCUCUGGGGCUAAUGGCAUGAAAAAGCAUCCUGAAGAUGCAAAUUUCAAAGAGGGCCAAGUUCCUGCCCUUGAGCGGAACUGAAAGAACCUGACAGGCCACUCCCAACUGGCCUUCCACACCCUCCUGAGCUCCCUGGGGUCAGACUCCCCUUCCACGGGACAGCAGCUGCUAAGGAAACUGCAAAGAACCAGUGCCACCUCUCCAGAACAGUCCACCCCUCCUCCCAGCCUCCUCCUCUGGCUCAGCUCCACUGCCUGGUAGGGGAGAGGGACUGCAGCCUGGGGG
ensembl:lncRNA